ACCUCUGCCUCCCAGGUUCGAGAGAUUCUUCUGCCUCGGCCUCCCAAGUAGCUGGGAUUACAGUGCACACCACCACAGCCUGCUAAUUUUGUAUUUUUAGUAGAGACGGGGUUUCUCCAUGUUGGUCAGUCUGGUCUCAAACUCCUGAUCUGAGGUGAUCCACCCACCCCCUGCCCACCGGGCCUCCCAAAGUGUUGGGAUUACAGGCGUGAGCCACUGCACCUGGUCCAACUUUUUAUUUAUUUUAAAUUUAUAUUUAAAUACUGUUUGAGGGAAAGCUGAGCAUUACCCCUAAAAUAUUACCCCCACCUCCAUUUAAAGAGGUUUCUUCACAUCCUACCUACACUACCAACUGUCCGCUAUAAACUGGUCACUACUUUCUUUGGAAAAAGCAAUCAACCAUGAAUAAUGCACUUGAUUGUAUUCAAACACAUUGAUCUUCAGUCACCGGGAUCCGACCUAUUGCCUUGACUGAUCUUUGUCUCUGUAGCUUUUAUUUCUUCCACCUAGAUCUAACUCUUUAUCAUUUAUUUUCCUUCAUCAUUGUGAGGAAAAAAUGGUAUCUCCUUCAGACUUUUCUUAGCAUAUUACCUACCAAUGGUCAUUCUCAGGUCAGGGAAUAUGCUGUAAAUUCAUAAACAAAAGUACGCAAAGUUUAUUUGGAAAUUUAAUGAAUGUGCACUCAAAAAAAGCUUAUAAUGUGUUUCCUAGGUGUUCAGUGGUUGAAUAGAUACAAAAUUGGUAGCUAACACAAAAUUAAACUAAUUUUUUUCAUUUUUACAAUAUGAAUAAAAUUAUUUGAAAUGUAAGAAGUGCUUUCUGUCUCACUGUGAGAACACACCGUUAGCUCUUCCAAAAACGUGGCAGCGAGAGCCUUCCUAAUUCUUGUACCCUAGGUGCCUAGUUUGCCUUACUCUAGCUCAGUCCGGCCUUUUCCAUUAAUCCUCAUCCAUUAUUAUUUAUUAUGUUUCUUAUUGUCUUUGUGUAGACUAAAAAUAAAAACUUCUUUAGCUUUUUUUUUUAAUCUCAUCUACCUAAUAUAGAAGCAUAGAUUAGGAUUAACAUGACUGAAUUUGAAAGCCCUGUUAUCUGGCUUCAGUAUUGACUCCACUACUUACCCAAAGUAUUAGGUUGGCCCAAAAGUAAUUGUGGUUUUUCCCAUUACUUUUAAUUGGUUUUUCCAAUUACUUUUGUGGAAAAGCUUCAAAAGUAAUUACUUUUAAUGGAAAAACUGCAAUUACUUUUGCACCAACCUAAUACUAACAUGGACAAAUUGUUUAACAUGAUUAGGCCUUGUUCUACUCAUCUGUAAAGUGAGAAUAAUAAUGUUCUUUAAUCAUAGGUGUGUAGCAAAUGUUAAAAGUGUUCACACAUAUUUUUAAAAGUGGUAUGAACCAUUGUAAG
rnacentral:lncRNA from 1 species